UAAGGAGAUGUCUGUGGUCCAACCCCUAUCAAGGAGAGUGGUUCCAGAGCGAAGGCUGUGUGUAGAGGUGAGGCCCACCAGUUCUAACUGGUAUUGCUCC